CGUCAAAUCAUCAUGCCCCUUAUGACCUGGGCUACACACGUACUACAAUGGCCGCCAACAAAGGGAAGCGAAGUUGUGAAACGGAGCAAAACCCCAAAAGCGGUCUCAGUUCGGAUUGCAGGCUGAAACCCGCCUGUAUGAAGUCGGAAUUGCUAGUAAUCGCAGAUCAGCAUGCUGCGGUGAAUACGUUCCCGGGCCUU
rnacentral:rRNA from 1 species